ensembl:lncRNA
UAAGUGAUGUAAAAAGAGGCCAAACUUGUCUCAGCAAAAGACAGAGAGAAGAGAGUAAUCUAUAAGCCAUGAGUCUCCGGGUGGACUAGAGUGUAUCUGCAGUGCUUUGUGAGAGAGGCGACCUGAGCCCUAGGACCAUGCCUCAGGACUACCUGGCAUGAUGACUCCUUGCUGUCCCCAGUCCACCUCGCCGUGCUCCUGCUCCAGUUUCAAAUGUUCUGCCUGCGGCUAUGGAAUCCUGACCUGUUCACUGGACGUGCUACCUGUCCCAGAUCUAUUAUUUGACCAUGCUGGUCAUUUAUGAACAUUUGAACAUCUUGGCUAUGUUCUGUUAUAAUCUCCACCCGGCACAGCCAGAAGAGGACUGGCCACCCCUCAUAGCCUGGUUCCUCUCUAGGUUUCUUCCUAGGUUUUGGCCUUUCUAGGGAGUUUUUCCUAGCCAAUGUGCUUCAACACCUGCAUUGCUUGCUGUUUGGGGUUUUGGGCUGGGUUUCUGUACAGCACUUUGAGAUAUCAGCUGAUGUACGAAAGGCUAUAUAAAUACAUUUGAUUUGAUUCAGCAUUUAAAAAAUCCAGCAGCGUUGCAGUUCUUGACACACCCAAACCGGUGCACCUGGCACCUACCACCAUACCCCACACCUAAAUCUUUUGUCUUACCCAUUCACCCUCAGUGCAACACAUACACAAUCCACAUCUCAAGGCUUAAAAAUACUUAUUUAACCCAUCUCCUCCUCUUCAUCAAUAAGGGAUCAUAGCUUUCACCUGGAUUCAUCUGGUCAGUUUAUGUCAUGGAAAGAGCAGGUGUGUCUAAUGUUUUGUGCACUCAGUGCAUAUAUUUGUUUAAUUUUGGCAACACCACUGCAGUUGACCUAGACUUUGAAUACCACUGGUCUAGUACAAUGCUGCUUCCCAAUACAUCAUAUAAACCAGCUUAUCUUUCACAAUAGUCCAGUCCAUAAGAUCACUACUCUCCAGCAAACAGCAACCACCCAGACAGAGGGAGAUAAGAUUCUAUUAUUUCAGGUACGAUGUCACAGGCAAUUUUCUCUGGUUGCCACUGCUGGCCUGAGGCAAUAAUAAAAUAUGUGGAUAAACUAGGCCCAAGACCCAGCAGGGUCACGGAAGAAGGACAGCAAGGGCUUUCAAGGCUCCAGUCACAGCCGUUUUGGGAUUCAGCCUGGAAGGCAACUGAUAAGUCUGGUCGAAUCAAGAGGACCUCAUCAAUGCAUUUGUUUGCUCCUUGAAGUACAGGCACCAGCAGGCAGUGACAUCCAUCAACCAAGUCCUUAUUUCUAUUGACUUGGCGCCCUCUUGUGUUGAUGUGUGUAUCGGCAAGAGCAAGAGAGGCUCCAUAACAUCUUGUGCCUUGCUGAGCGACUCAUGUACAGUGGAUAUUACUUUAUUCCAUCAAUUAAGUGUCUACAAACAAUUUCCCCAAAUGUGUGCUUGGCAGGGAAUAAUGACACCUCUUAGUCACUGACAGCUCCACCCAGACAGCCUGUUGGUCUGGUGAGUAAUCCAUCAGGGUUGGUAGACAAGAGCACACGGGUGUGUUCACUAAGGUGAAACAUUUACAAUAAUGCAGAUAAAAAUUUAACCAAACAGAAAUUCCAGUUCCACAUGACAGACAAUAAAAUCUGUUCUACAUAAUGAUUUUCUAUCUGCUGUGUGUAUGGGUGUGGCCCUUACCCUGGUCUAUGUUGUGCUGUGGUAGCUGGCUCAUCUGAGCGUUGAC